CAUGCAAGUCGAACGGAAAGGCCCUUCGGGGUACUCGAGUGGCGAACGGGUGAGUAACACGUGGGUGAUCUGCCCUGCACUCUGGGAUAAGCCUGGGAAACUGGGUCUAAUACCGGAUAUGAUCAUGCGCCUCAUGGUGUGUGGUGGAAAGCUUUUGCGGUGUGGGAUGGGCCCGCGGCCUAUCAGCUUGUUGGUGGGGUAAUGGCCUACCAAGGCGACGACGGGUAGCCGGCCUGAGAGGGUGACCGGCCACACUGGGACUGAGAUACGGCCCAGACUCCUACGGGAGGCAGCAGUGGGGAAUAUUGCACAAUGGGCGCAAGCCUGAUGCAGCGACGCCGCGUGGGGGAUGACGGCCUUCGGGUUGUAAACCUCUUUCAGUACCGACGAAGCGUAAGUGACGGUAGGUACAGAAGAAGCACCGGCCAACUACGUGCCAGCAGCCGCGGUAAUACGUAGGGUGCGAGCGUUGUCCGGAAUUACUGGGCGUAAAGAGCUCGUAGGUGGUUUGUCGCGUUGUCCGUGAAAACUCACAGCUUAACUGUGGGCGUGCGGGCGAUACGGGCAGACUAGAGUACUGCAGGGGAGACUGGAAUUCCUGGUGUAGCGGUGGAAUGCGCAGAUAUCAGGAGGAACACCGGUGGCGAAGGCGGGUCUCUGGGCAGUAACUGACGCUGAGGAGCGAAAGCGUGGGGAGCGAACAGGAUUAGAUACCCUGGUAGUCCACGCCGUAAACGGUGGGUACUAGGUGUGGGUUCCUUCCUUGGGAUCCGUGCCGUAGCUAACGCAUUAAGUACCCCGCCUGGGGAGUACGGCCGCAAGGCUAAAACUCAAAGGAAUUGACGGGGGCCCGCACAAGCGGCGGAGCAUGUGGAUUAAUUCGAUGCAACGCGAAGAACCUUACCUGGGUUUGACAUGCACAG
rnacentral:rRNA from 1 species